rnacentral:rRNA from 1 species
AUUGAACGCUGGCGGCAGGCCUAACACAUGCAAGUCGAGCGAGCGGCGGACGGGUGAGUAAUGUCUGGGAAACUGCCUGAUGGAGGGGGAUAACUACUGGAAACGGUAGCUUAUACCGCAUACCAUCAGAUGUGCCCCCAUGGGAUUGGCUAGUAGGUGGGGUAAUGGCUCACCUAGGCGACGAUCCCUAGCUGGGCUGAGAGGAUGACCAGCCACACUGGAACUGAGACACGUUCCAGAGUCCUACGGGAGGCAGCAGUGGGGAAUAUUGCACAAUGGGCGCAAGCCGGAUGCAGCCAGGCCGCGUGUAGGAAGAAGGCCUUCGGGUUGUAAAGCACUUGCAGCGGGGAGGCGUUACCCGCAGAAGAAGCACCGGCUAACUCCGGGCCAGCAGCCGCGGUAAUAC